GCCCUGAUAGUAUAAACAUUACACUGGUCUUGUAAACCAGAAAUGAAAAAC
rnacentral:tRNA from 1 species